ACAAAGACAGUGAUGAGUGGAGUAGCUUUACGAAAGCUUAUACAGCGAGUUCCGAUGGUGAAAGGGAACAAAGUUUUGUACAGUGAAGAGGACCUCGGAGUCGUGCACCGAAGCACAUGCUAAGGCUGCAACGGAUUCACCCGUUAUAGUGAUAAGGUAUAGUCCAUAUUUGAUGUACCUGAAGAGGCUUAUAUUGUGAAAUAUAAGCAAAUUAGGAUGGCAACGCGAAUCUACUUUCGUUCCUAAG
rnacentral:ncRNA from 1 species